GGCUGGAUAGCUCAGUGGGUAAGAGCAUUGCCCAUGAAAGGCAAGGUUCCGGGUUCGAGUCCCGGUCCGGCAUACA